AACCGUAAUCGGUAUCGUUUAUUAUAACGCUACAUCGGGUCGCGUCACUUAAUCUGUUAACCGUCGAUGAAUAUUUCGGAGACCGGAUAAUAUUCAGCUCCAUCUAACCGAAAUUACAAAUGCGCGAUGACGCUGGACUCCGGAGGACCUGCGAAUUAUUAUUAUUACUAUGCACCGUAGUUAUAACCGCGGUGUCCACACCAAUACCAACCUUAUACCUAUACCGUUAUGCGAAUGAGUGUAUUAAAAACUAUCUUUAAAUCUG